AUCCGAGUGAUUUCUGCUAAAGGAAUCUUUUGUUAGUCCUAGAAACACUAACGAAAAAGGGGUGGGCAAGUUCUGGUGUCAGCCGCCGCGGUAAAACCAGCACCUCAAGUGGUCAGGAUGAUUAUUGGGCCUAAAGCAUCCGUAGCCGGCUCUGUAAGUUUUCGGUUAAAUCUGUACGCUUAACGUACAGGCUGCCGGGAAUACUGCACAGCUAGGGAGUGGGAGAGGUAGACGGGACUCGGUAGGAAGUGGUAAAAUGCUUUGAUCUAUCGAUGACCACCUGUGGCGAAGGCGGUCUACCAGAACACGUCCGACGGUGAGGGAUGAAAGCUGGGGGAGCAAACCGGAUUAGAUACCCGGGUAGUCCCAGCUGUAAACUAUGCAAACUCAGUGAUGCAUUGGCUUGUGGCCAAUGCAGUGCUGCAAGGAAGCCGUUAAGUUUGCCGCCUGGGAAGUACGUACGCAAGUAUGAAACUUAAAGGAAU
rnacentral:rRNA from 1 species